ensembl:snRNA U6 U6 spliceosomal RNA
GUGUUCAAUUCAGCAGUACUUUUACUAAAAUUGGAACAUAACAGAGGAGAUUAUCAUGGCCCAAUGCACCGGGGGUAACAUGCAAAAUUGUGGAACAUUUCAUAUUUAA